CGGGGAAGGAGGUUAAUGCUGUAACAUUGGUCUAUUGGGACAUCAAGGAGUAUCCGGUUCCCCCUGGCUUUGAUCCACGUCGGGUCCGUCCGUGCAUUAAUGGGCUCUUGGAAUCUCAUGGCUACUCUGGUCCUGUCACCAUCUACGCCGUUGGCAUACUAACAGACGUCCAUGUUGACAUCCUUCGAGCUCUCUCUUCCUCUGGGAUCAUCCUUUAUUACUCCCCCUUCAGUUCCUCAGCUAUCAUGUCACUUAUGGGUGAGUGGAUGGAUGAGAAUUCACCUCCAGCUAAUAUGUUGGGCAUAUGCUUUCCCAAUGCCUUCCCUUCACCACUUGUAAGUGGAUACAACCUAUUCAGGCCGUUUUCAUUUACUUCUCCUCAAGAAGACGCCAUCACCUGGAUUAACUUAAUUCUGACAGUGUCAGGGACACUUGAGGAGGAUAAAUGCAGUCAAACGGAUCAAUCUGCCAUCUGGUUCUGCUCAAUAUGCCAAGAUCUUUGUGGCGA